AUGGCGUCCUCCUCCCAGUCCCACUCCCACCAAGAAGAAGAAGACCAUGGCGACCAGAUCACCGCCCCACUCCUCCCGAACCGGCCGUCAACGUCACGGAGCUCGCCGGAGCACCACGACGACGGCCAUGGCGAAUCGUCGGAGAACUCGCCGAUCGAGCAGGUGGCGCUGACGGUGCCCGUGGGCGACGACCCGGACACUCCAGUCCUCACCUUCCGGAUGUGGGUGCUGGGCAUGGCGUCCUGCGUCGUGCUCUCCUUCCUCAACCAGUUCUUCUGGUACCGCAAGGAGCCGCUCACCAUCACCGCCAUCUCCGCUCAGAUCGCCGUCGUGCCACUCGGCCGCCUCAUGGCCGCGGCGCUGCCGGAGCGGGCCUUCUUCCGCGGCUCGCGCUGGGAGUUCACCCUCAACCCGGGGCCGUUCAACGUGAAAGAGCACGUGCUCAUCACCAUCUUCGCCAACGCUGGCGCCGGCACCGUGUACGCCAUCCACGUGGUCACCGCCGUCCGCGUUUUCUACGGCAAGAACCUCACCUUCUUGGUCUCUCUCCUCGUGGUGCUCACCACGCAGGUGCUCGGGUUCGGGUGGGCGGGGAUUUUCCGGCGGUACCUCGUGGAGCCGGCGGCCAUGUGGUGGCCGUCCAACCUCGUGCAGGUCUCCCUCUUCAGGGCGCUCCAUGAGGAUGAAAGGCGGCGAAAAGGGGGAUUCACGCGCAACCAGUUCUUCCUGGUGGCGUUCGCCUGCAGCUUCGCAUACUAUGCCUUCCCGGGCUACCUGUUCCAGAUGCUCACCUCACUCUCCUGGAUCUGCUGGGUGUUCCCCAACUCCGUGUUCGCCCAGCAGCUCGGCUCAGGCCUCCACGGGCUCGGCGUCGGCGCAAUCGGUCUCGACUGGGCAUCGAUCUCCAGCUACCUCGGGAGCCCUCUCGUCAGCCCCUGGUUCGCCACUGCGAAUGUUGCUGCAGGCUUCUUCGUCGUUAUGUACAUCAUCGUGCCUAUUGGGUAUUGGUUUGAUUUCUAUAAGGCGCAGACCUUCCCCAUCUUCUCUUCCGGUCUCUUCACCUCUGCCGGGCAGAAGUACAACAUCUCAGCUAUCGUGGACGAUAAUUUCCAUCUCGAUACAGAGGCAUAUGAGAAAAACGGUCCACUGUACCUCAGCACUCUCUUUGCUGUCACAUAUGGUAUCGGUUUCGCGUCACUUACCGCGACAAUUGUUCAUGUCCUCCUGUUUCACGGAAGGGAAAUUUUGCAGCUAAGCAGAUCAGCUUUUCAAGGGAAAAGUGUGGACAUACAUACCAAGCUAAUGAGGAGAUAUAAGCAGGUCCCUGAGUGGUGGUUCAUCUGCAUCCUUGUCGUUAACAUUGCCGUCACUGUAUUCGCUUGUGAAUACUACAUAGAGCAGCUCCAGCUGCCCUGGUGGGGUGUGUUACUUGCAUGCGGCAUUGCCUUUUUCUUCACCCUCCCAAUCGGAAUUAUCACAGCGACAACAAACCAGACCCCAGGACUGAACAUCAUCACAGAGUACAUCAUUGGAUACCUGUAUCCCGGACGACCCGUUGCGAAUAUGUGCUUCAAGGUAUACGGCUAUAUCAGCAUGCACCAAGCUCUGAUGUUUCUGCAAGAUUUUAAGUUGGGGCACUACAUGAAGAUUCCCCCAAGGACCAUGUUUAUGGCUCAGGUGGUCGGAACAACGAUCGCGGCGUUCGUGUACCUUGGGACAGCAUGGUGGUUGAUGGACACAAUCCCCAACAUCUGCGACAUUGAGCUCCUCUCGGCGGGCAGCCCUUGGACCUGCCCCGGUGAUCAUGUGUUCUAUGAUGCGUCGGUCAUAUGGGGUCUUAUUGGCCCGCGCAGAAUAUUCGGGGACCUGGGAACUUACGCGGCGGUGAACUGGUUCUUCUUGGGGGGAGCUGUCGCCCCACUCCUCGUAUGGUUGGCGCACAGGGCGUUCCCAGGCCAGAACUGGAUCUUACUCAUCAACAUGCCCGUGAUGCUCGGUUCCAUCUUCCAGAUGCCGCCCGCCACAGCGGUUAACUACACCACAUGGAUACUGAUUGGGUUUCUGUCAGGUUAUGUGGUUUAUAGGUAUCGACGUGACUGGUGGGAGCGGCACAAUUACCUGCUCUCGGGUGCACUAGAUGCUGGUCUGGCGUUCAUGGCAGUUUUGAUUUACUUGUGCCUGGGCUUGGAGAACAUCAGUUUGAACUGGUGGGGAAAUGACUUGGAUGGAUGUCCCCUGGCUUCUUGCCCCACUGCUAAAGAGACAAGGAUAGAGGCAAUGAUCAACUACUGCUCUGACACAGUGACACUAGCAGUCCAGAUUUCUGCCCUCCAAGACUUGAAUGAAACCAUGCUGAUAAUCUUCUUAUUUCACGACAGAGUUAGCCGCCGGCAACUCGCUUCAUCCCACGUGGGGACGUAA
rnacentral:rRNA from 1 species